rnacentral:lncRNA from 1 species
UUUGAUGUUAAAUAUGCAUUUGUUUUCAGUUAGGGUUUUUAGAAUCCUCUAAUAGAUUUGAUGUUGAAUGUUCAUUUGUAAGGCAUUUUCAUUUGUUUACGGCCGUUUUGAAGCAUCUAAGAACUCCAACAAAUUCUUCUUUGGAUUAUCCAUCCAUAAAUUCUGAUUAUAUGAGCAAAAUUAAAAGGAUCAUUGGGUUGGUGAGUUGAAACCAAAUUAGAGUGCAUUUGCAGACAACCCAGAAGAGGCUGCAAAUUCUUAUAUGACUAUAUUAGAAAAAGCUAAAAGGGUUGUUCCACAAGAUAUGCACAAAAUACACCUGUUAAAGUUGGGGCAACUGCAGGUCUGAGACAGUUGGGAUGCAUCUAAAAGAAUUUUGCUGUUGUUGCCAUUCUUUAAAAAAAAUUAAGGCAUUUAAGUGUAGUUUUAAAGAAAGUUGGUAAUCUAAAGAUGGAUUUGUUGUUGUUGCCAUUCUUUAAAAAAAAACAACUCAGUUUUGAUCUGAAACCUGGUCCGACUGUAACCCGUUCUUACCCAAAACGAAAUAACCCUUUUUUAGUUAACACAUACCCGUUUUGACCUGAACCAAAAUAAACCCUGUAUUUCUUGAUAAAGUUCAUAACUGUAUAACGAUCUUGGGGAGGCAGCCUUAAUAAUACAUCUUGGGCAACUUUUGACCCUAAUAAAAAUUGCAAGAAUAGACCUGUUCUCAAGUGGUGGAAAUUGCCACCUAUACUUCCCAUCUUUUUUAGUUAUUAACUUAUUGUUUCUUUUCAAAUCCCGUUGGUCUUACAUUUUUUUAGUUAUUAACUUAUUGUUUCUUUUCAAAUCCCAUUUUUGUUAGAGCAGAUUAUGGACGAAACUCUACCAUUUUUAUUAACGAAAUCCUACCGGGUGACUUUCUUUGCUGUUUAGGAAGGUCGCCGCCGAUGAAUUUUCCACCCACUGGAUCAAAUGUAAACCUGUGUUCAGUAUUUUUGGUGAGAAUGUUUAUGUAAACCUGGUGUGCAUCUUCCUAAUGCAUGGACAAGCCUUCAAACAU